GACAGAGGGGGCAAGCGUUGCUCGGAAUUACUGGGCGUAAAGGGCGCGUAGGCGGGAUGGCAAGUCGGUCGUGAAAUCCUUCGGCUCAACCGAAGAACGUCGAUCGAUACUGCUGUUCUUGAGGGUUGCAGAGGAGACUGGAAUUCCCGGUGUAGCGGUGAAAUGCGUAGAUAUCUGGAGGAACACCGGUGGCGAAGGCGGCGUUCUGGACUGCAACUGACACUGAAGAACGAAAGCCAGGGGAGCAAACGGG
rnacentral:rRNA from 1 species